AAUUACAUCGGGAUCGAAGUCGGGCUCGAAAAGCAAUUUAUUUAAAAACAACACACCGCGCCGAAAUUCAAUUUUUUGGAGAGUUCCACGCAGCCAUGUUGAACUUGAUCAUGAUGUUGUACGGGAGGAAGGGGCGAAAGAGAUUUACUCGAAAAGGAGAAGCAUGAUAAACUUUGGAUGGAAUUUAUGUUUUAACAGAAGAUGAAGACAUUUACGACCCUGUUUAGCGUUGCAGUGUGGACUGUGCCUGAGACGAUUCCCCAUAACGCCGGCUAUGUAGACAGCUUGUGAAAAUGGAAAUGCUCACAAGAAAUGACAAAAGCAGUAUGAAGAUUAACACAACGAAAUUGUGCCAGAAAAGUUUGAAGUAGCUAUGGGAAUGAUCAACAUUGAACUUGCUGAGGCUCUCUUCCUGAAAGUGACUUGACCAGAUAUUUGGCUACCCAGUAUGAGUAUCUUUCUGCUACAUUAAAUAAAAUAUCGUGGAGGAACACGAAGAAAAGGGCUGCGCACCUCAACAUAUUCAAGGUCAAGCAGCUUUUUACCAUAUCCAUAGUAUCUUGCUGCUAAAUGAAAGAAUUAGUGUGGAGGA